CCCCUAAACCCUAACUCUUUGUCUUAUUUAUUUUCUCUAAUCUUUCUCUCUCCUUCCCCAAGAUAUCUUACUCCUUACUCUAUGAAAAUAGUGACCUCACUUCCUCUCCUAAAUUAUAACUUACUCAGAUCUAUGCUUCUUUGAGGCUUUUCUAAUUCUUCUUUAUAACGUAGUCUUGCUUCACUUUUAUCUUUAGUGUCUGGUUUCGAACUAUGAAGAUCUUCAGCUAUGCCC
rnacentral:lncRNA from 1 species